AUUGAACGCUGGCGGCAUGCCUUACACAUGCAAGUCGAACGGCAGCACGGGUGCUUGCACCUGGUGGCGAGUGGCGAACGGGUGAGUAAUACAUCGGAACAUGUCCUGUAGUGGGGGAUAGCCCGGCGAAAGCCGGAUUAAUACCGCAUACGAUCUACGGAUGAAAGCGGGGGACCUUCGGGCCUCGCGCUAUAGGGUUGGCCGAUGGCUGAUUAGCUAGUUGGUGGGGUAAAGGCCUACCAAGGCGACGAUCAGUAGCUGGUCUGAGAGGACGACCAGCCACACUGGGACUGAGACACGGCCCAGACUCCUGCGGGAGGCAGCAGUGGGGAAUUUUGGACAAUGGGGGAAACCCUGAUCCAGCAAUGCCGCGUGUGGGAAGAAGGCCUUCGGGUUGUAAAGCACUUUUGUCCGGAAAGAAAUCCUUGGUCCUAAUAUGGCCGGGGGAUGACGGUACCGGAAGAAUAAGCACCGGCUAACUACGUGCCAGCCGCCGCAGUAACAC
rnacentral:rRNA from 1 species